rnacentral:misc_RNA from 1 species
UUAAGUUCAGCGGGUAUCCCUACCUGAUCCGAGGUCAAGAGUGUAAAAAGUACUUUUGGACGUCGUCGUUAUGAGUGCAAAGCGCGAGAUGUACUGCGCUCCGAAAUCAAUACGCCGGCUGCCAAUUGUUUUAAGGCGAGUCUACGCGCAAGGCGAGACAAACACCCAACACCAAGCAGAGCUUGAAGGUACAAAUGACG